rnacentral:RNase_P_RNA from 1 species
GAAGUUCGCCAGGCAGCCGCCGUGCGUUAUGCGCAUGGAGGAAAGUCCGGGCCCCGUAGAGCAGGAUGCCGGCUAACGGCCGGGCGUCGUGAGGCGACGGAAAGUGCAACAGAAAGCAAACCGCCCAAGCCCGCAAGGGACGGCAAGGGUGAAAUGGCGAGGUAAGAGCUCACCGCCUUCGCGGCAACGCGAAGGGCACGGCAAACCCCAUCCGGGGCAAGGCCAAAUAGGCAAGCGAUCACGCGGCUCGCGUGGCUUGCGGGUAGGCUGCUCGAGCGGUACGGUAACGUGCCGCCCAGAUGAAUGGCUGCCGGGCGGCGCAAGCCGCCUUACAGAACCCGGCUUAUCGGUGGACUUCCCGC